UGGGUCGGCAAGACGGUCGCGGCAGAAAUGACGAGGAACGUCCGGGCUCCAUAGAGCAAGACGGUGGCUAACAGCCACUCAGGGCAACCUGCGAGACAGUGCAACAGAAAGUAAACCGCCGUGCAAACGGUAAGGGUGAAACGGUGGUGUAAGAGACCACCAGCGUGGUGUGUGAGCACCUCGGCUAUGUAAACCUCGUUUGGAGCAAGGUCAGACAGAAGGCGCAUAGGGCUGCUCGCCCUAGUCUUCGGGUAGACCGCUUGAGGGUGUCAGCAAUGGCAUUCCUAGAUAGAUGACCGUCACCUGGCAACAGGGACAGAACCCGGCGUAACAGCCGGCCCAUCCA
rnacentral:RNase_P_RNA from 1 species